AACAAGGUUUCCGUAGGUGAACCUGCGGAAGGAUCAUUACCGAGUUGAUUCGAGCUCCGGCUCGACUCUCCCACCCCAUGUGUACCUACCUCUGUUGCUUUGGCGGGCCGCGGUCCUCCGCACCGACCCCCGUUCGGGGGGCCGGCCAGCGCCCGCCAGAGGACCACAAAACUCCAGUCAGUAAACGUCGCAGUCUGAGAAACAAGUUAAUAAACUAAAACUUUCAACAACGGAUCUCUUGGUUCUGGCAUCGAUGAAGAACGCAGCGAAAUGCGAUAAGUAAUGUGAAUUGCAGAAUUCAGUGAAUCAUCGAAUCUUUGAACGCACAUUGCGCCCCUUGGUAUUCCGAGGGGCAUGCCUGUUCGAGCGUCAUUUCAACCCUCAAGCUCUGCUUGGUAUUGGGCUCCGUCCUCUGUGGACGCGCCUCGAAGACCUCGGCGGUGGCGUCUUGCCUCAAGCGUAGUAGAAAACACCUCGCUUUGGAGCGCACGGCGUCGCCCGCCGGACGAACCUUUGAAUUUUUCUCAAGGUUGACCUCGGAUCAGGUAGGGAUACCCGCUGAACUUAAGCAUAUCAAUAAGCGGAGGA
rnacentral:rRNA from 1 species